rnacentral:lncRNA from 1 species
GGAGGCUGGAGCAGCUGACAAAGCUUCCUGGGGAAUCAGAUCUGGGGCUCUGCUGGUUUCCCGGCAGAUGGGCCUGGACCAACACAGACAUUGAGCAUCAGGCAGGACAUUGGGAAGAGGCUGGGGUCCUAUCUCAGUGGCCGCUGCUAUCAAGGACCUUGGUGGACAGUGGUACCAGACAAUCUGGCUUAUCUGGGUGGGACACACGGUAAAUGGGCCGGGAGCAGACCAUGCCACUGCCUGAACAGCCCUGCAGCCUCAGCUUGGGGCUGCAGUGCUUGACCAGCCAAGCUGGGUGGUUGGGACAGUCCUCUUUCCCUCUCCUCUCCCAGCUGCUCUUGCCCACUCUACUGUCCUCCCUCAAGGGGUCUGGGGCCUUCCAGUGCUGAUCCUGCUGCUGUACACCCGUGGAGUCGAGCCCAGAGGUGUCCCUGGCCAGGGAGCAGUGGCUCGGCCACCCAUGAGCUGGCAGUGGGUGGUCCCGGCUCUAGUUGCAGCUGCACCUACCUUCUCCCAACCGAGGGGCCAUGGUGCUGGCCCGUCUCUGUCCUGGAGGCUUGUCACCAGGCCUCAGCAGCCACCCUCCACAGGAAGCUACUCUGAGCCUGCUGGGGUGUGCAAGUGAAACCCCGCCCCGGGGUCCCCGAUCUUUGCCCCCUUCCACCUGCCUGGCCUGCAGCACAGCACAUUGUGCGACAUUUUGUGUUGGGCUCAGGAGGGCUGUGCUGCGCUGCUCAGGAGGAGGUUGCAGGAGGAGGGAACCCCCGUCCCGGCCAUGCCAGCCAGGUUGCUGGUUGGGGCCACCUGUGCCACGCUCCUGCUCCUGCUUCUGCCGCCUGAGGUGCCUGGCCGAGGCCCCUCUGGAAGGACACAGCCGGGGCCCUUUGCCAAUGAGAGGCGCCGCCUGGGCCCCCACGUCUGCCUCUCAGUCCUCGGGAGUGGUUGCUGCCCGGGCUGGGCGCCCUCCAUGGGUAGCGGGCACUGUACCCUGCGUAAGUGCUGUCCACACACCCGCCCUACUUGGUGCAGGGGCAGACGGUGGCUGUCCAGCCCCUUACCGGAAUCUCUCCCUCAGCCCUCUGCUCCUUUGGCUGCGGGAGUGGCGUUUGUAUCGCACCGAAUGUCUGCUCCUGUGUGGAUGGGGAGCAAGGGGCCAC